UUUCUCUGUGGUUUUGAAAAGUGUUGUGUGGCUAUAAAUACAUGGAACAUUGCAUUAAACCAAGAAAUAUAUCUUACAGAUAAAGAUUUUGUUGAAGUUCAAUGUCAGAGGUAAGAAAAAAAUGCAAGAAAUUUGUGCAAGUAUGUUAUCUCAAUGCAUCAAAAUCAAGGGACGAUGCUGCUAAUCAAAUAUCUUUCACAGCAAAAACAUUACAAUAUGAGAAUCAUGAGAGGUGAUGCUGCUCUUAGCCUUCUGCAUAAAGGCAGAACUCAUGCAUGGAGUCGGCAAAAACAUAAAGUAGGAUUUUUUUCACAGAUACAGCAUCUUCAUUCUAUGUCAGAAGUUAGUGAAAGAAAUCCAAGACAGACUAGUUUAUUGAAAACGAAAAAACUUUGGCUGGUCUAAUUCCCUUCCUUCUUUCUUGGUUAAGGCAUCUAUCAGAAACCUAAUAUUACAAUUUAGCUAAUUCAGCAUCUCAAUGUUACAUUAAUGUGUUCAUGUUUGUCUUUGGUAAAGAAAGUAAAUGUAUUACGUUCUAUAUGUAAAUUCAUUGGAUAUCCAUAUGCCACACAAUUCACUGUAUUCUGUCUCAUAAGAGAGAUUAUAUAGAGAAUUUAGUUCUUGGAAUCUAUUAUUAUCGUUUUAAAUAAUUAU